AUACGGAGGAUGCAAGCGUUAUCCGGAUUUAUUGGGUUUAAAGGGUGCGUAGGCGGAUGAUUAAGCGUGAGGUGAAAUGCCACUGCUCAACAGUGGAACUGCCUCGCGAACUGGUUGUCUUGAAUGCUCCUGCCGUGGGAGGAAUGUGUGGUGUAGCGGUGAAAUGCAUAGAGAUCACACAGAACACCGAUUGCGAAGGCAUCUCACGAAGGGGUGAUUGACGCUGAUGCACGAAAGCGGGGGGAUCAAACAGGAUUAGAUGCCCUGGUAGUCCACGCAGUAAACGAUGAUAACUAACCGCUGGGUCGUAGUGAUUCAGUGGCCAAGCGAAAGCGAUAAGUUAUCCACCUGGGGAGUACGACCGCAAGGUUGAAACUCAAAGGAAUUGACGGGG
rnacentral:rRNA from 1 species